rnacentral:lncRNA from 1 species
UUCUUUGAUUCCUUUCAUAAAUAGAGAUGGAUUGAGUUUGCCCGAGUUUUCUUUUUUGUCCUGUUUGUUUUAUAAUUUCACUGGAGAUCAGUUUUGAUUAGCAUUUCGAUGCACUAGAGUUUUCUUUGAUUUCAGUUCUGGUUUUCGGACGAACAAUGGCACUCGUAGAGAAAUUUGAGUCUGCUGUUGUCUGAGCUUCUGAUUUCAACCCAUUAGCUUCCAGGUCUCGUUUAUAUUCCAAGCUCGUACAAAGUUAAACGGGUUGUUUAUUGAUUCAGGUUUGCUUUUAAUCCCAUGUAGCCUAUCUUUGGCAUUUUGAUUAUGAAAUGUGACUGUUUGGUCGUAAUGUGUUGGUUUUCCAUUUGCACGAGUAUGUCUGGUUUGACUCGGUUGUGUAUAUGUCAUUGAUUUCUGAUUGUGCUGUGUAUUUAGAACUAUUGCGAUCGUCUGUUAAAUUCUGUUACAUUCUGGUCGAACCGUCUUCAUGACUAGUUGAGUUCUUCAGAAGUUUCCUUUUGGUUAAGUUAGAAUUAAAAAAAAUUAAUAUGAGUAAUUAUUUGCUGCUGUAGUUUGAAUUGUGAGUGAGGGAUGAAACUAUCUUUGAGAUGCUGAGAAAUUGAAAGCCUCUUGUGGUUUGAAUCUGAAAUAUUGGAAACCUUGUUCUGGCUUCUUCCUUUUAGUGUGGAUUUUGUUGAUAUUUGCUAGCAAUUUAGCUAAGUAUCAGUUCUGAUUCGUGUUGGCUUCGCGCUAGAUUUAUUUGUUUCUUGAUGAUUCUAGUUUGAAACUAAUUAAUCCGCUGCUUGAACUAUUUGAGUUCCAUCCUGAUUUGUCUUAGCCUCAUUUUGGUUCAUCUUAGUUGAUACAUUGUUUAAUGAAGUAAGUUGUAAACCUUUGUGACACUAUAUCACUUAACAACUGAAACUGUUGGUUUUCAUUUAAAUAGCUGAAUCUAUUCGGAGCUGUCAUCUCUAAUUUUCCUUGGUUUUCGAACGAGAAGUUUGCUAGACGUGUUAUUGCUUGGUAAUAGGAUUACUGUUGAUCAUACAUCUUUGUUGCAUAUUGAGUUGAAUACCAGUUAGGAUGUUCUUGCUUUAUUUAUUGUUAAAAACAAUGAAAAGCAGUACUGUAGCUGCAUGCUUGUUUUAGUCGACUGUAUUUCAAAUCUUAUUUCAGUUUUUUCAUGGUUAUUAUGUUUGAUGUGGUGCAUCAGUCAAGCCAGUGCAUAUGUUGAAGAGUCGUGUCUAAUGUGAAUCUGAGUUAGCCGGAGUUUACUCCACGGAAAACCUGCCCUAUUUUGCACUGUUGCAUAUGUUGAAGAGUUGUGUCUAAUGUGAAUCUGAGUUAGCUGGGGUUUACUCCAUGGAAAACCUGCCCCGUUUUGCACUAUUCGAGUGUUAAUUUCGAGGGCUAAUUCUGUGAGGCUUGGAUUGUUUUGAGCCAUGGGGUGUAAUGUGUCGUCAUUAAUUCACUAUUUCAGCAUAGCUAGGCCUACCAGUUCUUCUUCACCUCUCUUUAGGCCAUUUUUUUAACUUCAAUUAGUAAUACAUCCAUGCUCAACUGG